rnacentral:lncRNA from 1 species
GAUUCUGUUCACAUCUGUUGUGAUUCUGGAUCAAGGGCCAGAUCCAGGAUUCAACACAAAGAUAAGGUGAAAAGAGAAGAAGCAAAAAGCAGCAGGAAGAAUUAUUUAGGAUCCUUACUCCCAGGUUCGCCUCUUCCUGGGAUAAUCAUGACUGCCAUGGAUAUAGUCAGUACAAGACAGCAUACCAGUGUGAGGUGCUUCCUCAGACAGCCUGAGUUGAAAUUUUGCCAUUUCCAAGUACCAGCUGUGUGACCUUAGAAGGAGCAUUUGGACCUAACAGCUCUAACCAUCCAAAU